UAAUACGGAGGGUGCGAGCGUUAUUCGGAAUUACUGGGCGUAAAGCGCGUGUAGGCGGGGAGGCAAGUCUGAUGUGAAAGCCCCGGGCUUAACCUGGGAAGUGCAUUGGAAACUGCUUUUCUUGAGUGCUGGAGAGGAAGGGGGAAUUCCCGGUGUAGAGGUGAAAUUCGUAGAGAUCGGGAGGAAUACCAGUGGCGAAGGCGCCCUUCUGGACGGCAACUGACGCUGAGACGCGAAAGCGUGGGGAGCAAACAGGAUUAGAUACCCUGGUAGUCCACGCUGUAAACGAUGAUCACUAGGUGUAGCGGGUACUCAUUCCUGCUGUGCCGCAGCUAACGCGUUAAGUGAUCCGCCUGGGGACUACGGUCGCAAGACUAAAACUUAAAGGAAUUGACGG
rnacentral:rRNA from 1 species